CCUACGGGCGGCUGCAGUGGGGAAUAUUGGGCAAUGGAGGCAACUCUGACCCAGCAACGCCGCGUGAAUGAUGAAGGUCUUCGGAUUGUAAAGUUCUUUUCUAAGGGAAGAAGAAAGUGACGGUACCUGAGUAAGAAGCCCCGGCUAACUACGUGCCAGCAGCCGCGGUAAUACGUAGGGGGCAAGCGUUAUCCGGAUUUACUGGGUGUAAAGGGAGCGUAGACGGCAGUGCAAGUCUGGAGUGAAAGGCGGGGGCUCAACCCCCGGACUGCUCUGGAAACUGUACGGCUGGAGUGCAGGAGAGGUAAGUGGAAUUCCUAGUGUAGCGGUGAAAUGCGUAGAUAUUAGGAGGAACACCAGUGGCGAAGGCGGCUUACUGGACUGUAACUGACGUUGAGGCUCGAAAGCGUGGGGAGCAAACAGGAUUAGAUACCCGUGUAGUC
rnacentral:rRNA from 1 species